UGGGGAAUAUUGGACAAUGGGCGCAAGCCUGAUCCAGCAAUGCCGCGUGUGUGAAGAAGGCCUUCGGGUUGUAAAGCACUUUUAUCAGGAGCGAAACGCUGUCGGCUAAUACCCGGCGGAACUGACGGUACAUGAGGAAUAAGCACCGGCUAACUUCGUGCCAGCAGCCGCGGUAAUACGAAGGGUGCAAGCGUUAAUCGGAAUUACUGGGCGUAAAGCGUGCGUAGGCGGUUUCUUAAGUCUGCUGUGAAAUCCCCGGGCUCAACCUGGGAAUGGCAGUGGAUACUGGGAGGCUAGAGUGUGUCAGAGGGUGGUGGAAUUCCCGGUGUAGCGGUGAAAUGCGUAGAGAUCGGGAGGAACAUCAGUGGCGAAGGCGGCCACCUGGGACAACACUGACGCUGAGGCACGAAAGCGUGGGGAGCAAACAGGAUUAGAUACCCUGGUAGUCCACGCCCUAAAACGAUGCGAACUGGAUGUUGGUCUCAACUCGGAGAUCAGUGUCGAAGCUAACGCGUUAAGUUCGCCGCCUGGGGAGUACGGUCGCAAGACUGAAACUCAAAUGAAUUGACGGGGUCAUAGCUGUUUCCUG
rnacentral:rRNA from 1 species